AAUUCUCAAACCUCACUAGUUUUGCGACUUGUUGAGGCUUUGGAUGUGGGGGUUGCUGGCUUUCACGAGUCAGCUCUCCUUAAAUGCAUUAGCGGUUACUGUUCGCUACAUCCUGGUGUGAUAAUAUCAACGCCUAGUAGUGAUGUUAAGUGUAGCUGCUUCAAACCGUCUGAGAAUUCGGACAAUCUGAACC
rnacentral:misc_RNA from 1 species